rnacentral:rRNA from 1 species
CAUGCAAGUCGAACGGACUUACAUUGAAGCCUAGCGAUAUGUAAGUUAGUGGCGGACGGGUGAGUAACGCGUGGGUAACCUGCCUUGUACUGGGGGACAACAGUUGGAAACGACUGCUAAUACCGCAUAAGCGCACAGCUUCGCAUGAAGCAGUGUGAAAAACUCCGGUGGUACAAGAUGGACCCGCGUCUGAUUAGCUGGUUGGUGAGGUAACGGCCCACCAAGGCGACGAUCAGUAGCCGGCCUGAGAGGGUGAACGGCCACAUUGGGACUGAGACACGGCCCAAACUCCUACGGGAGGCAGCAGUGGGGAAUAUUGCACAAUGGGGGAAACCCUGAUGCAGCAACGCCGCGUGAGUGAAGAAGUAUUUCGGUAUGUAAAGCUCUAUCAGCAGGAAAGAAAAUGACGGUACCUGACUAAGAAGCCCCGGCUAACUACGUGCCAGCAGCCGCGGUAAUACGUAGGGGGCAAGCGUUAUCCGGAUUUACUGGGUGUAAAGGGAGCGUAGACGGUUUUGCAAGUCUGAAGUGAAAGCCCGGGGCUUAACCCCGGGACUGCUUUGGAAACUGUAGAACUAGAGUGCAGGAGAGGUAAGUGGAAUUCCUAGUGUAGCGGUGAAAUGCGUAGAUAUUAGGAGGAACACCAGUGGCGAAGGCGGCUUACUGGACUGUAACUGACGUUGAGGCUCGAAAGCGUGGGGAGCAAACAGGAUUAGAUACCCUGGUAGUCCACGCCGUAAACGAUGAUUACUAGGUGUUGGUGGGUACGACCCAUCGGUGCCGCAGCAAACGCAGUAAGUAAUCCACCUGGGG